UACGUAGGGUGCGAGCGUUAAUCGGAAUUACUGGGCGUAAAGCGUGCGCAGGCGGUGAUGUAAGACAGAUGUGAAAUCCCCGGGCUCAACCUGGGAACUGCAUUUGUGACUGCAUCGCUGGAGUGCGGCAGAGGGGGAUGGAAUUCCGCGUGUAGCAGUGAAAUGCGUAGAGAUCCGGAGGAACACCAGUGGCGAAGGCGACACGCUGGGCCGUACCUGACACUGAUGCGCGACAGCAUGGGGAGCAAACAGG
rnacentral:rRNA from 1 species